UACGUAGGGUGCAAGCGUUGUCCGGAAUUAUUGGGCGUAAAGAGCUCGUAGGCGGUUUGUCGCGUCUGCUGUGAAAACUCGGGGCUUAACCCCGGGCCUGCAGUGGGUACGGGCAGACUAGAGUGCGGUAGGGGAGACUGGAAUUCCUGGUGUAGCGGUGGAAUGCGCAGAUAUCAGGAGGAACACCGGUGGCGAAGGCGGGUCUCUGGGCCGUUACUGACGCUGAGGAGCGAAAGCGUGGGGGAGCGAACAGG
rnacentral:rRNA from 1 species